AUGGCAAGGGCGGGAAGCUGGAGGAAAAGCUCAUUCUUUAAGGAGUCUUCCUCUGUGACUGCUUGCUGGACUGCUUCUAUCAUGUUCUCAGACACCAGAGUGCCUGGGGAGCACAGAGGCUUUCAACACAGCAACCCUCAUCUCAACCUCUGGCUUCACAAUGGACUCAGGGCCCACCACAGUGAAAUGGGACUCCAUGGGCAGUGCGGGCGGGCUGACGCCAACCUUACCUAUCCCAACAGAGUCAAGAAGGUAGGCUUUACAUCACAAGAGGUGAUGAACAACAUACAUGGGAAGGAAAGGACGGGUCCCCAUUUGAAUGAACUGUGCCUGGAGGCUAGGAGGCUGCGCUUCGGCUUGUGGGAGCAUCGUGUGCAGCCAGAUUUGAGAAGCCAAGAGGGCAGCCCUUCCAGGUGGAGCCAUGGCCAGUCUCCAGCACCAGGCCUGAGACACAGGGCGUCUGUCAGGGACUACUACACAGAACGCUCCUUUGUUGGGAAUGCCCGCCAGUCUUUACUACACCCUUCAGUCAGGAAGUACGUGAAGGCCCCCGCCCUCGCUCAGCCAACACAGUUCAAAGGUCAAGACGGCUGUAAAGUGCCUGUUUGUUUGGAGGACCAGCUUUGGGGCUAUUCCAGACAGACUUGUCAGAGAGACCUUCAUACAUCCAGCUGGGUGGAUUCAGCUACAGCCACACAGGGCUUACCAAGACACCAGAGUUUCAGUUCCACCUUGAGAUCCAACAAAAAGAAUGUCCGAAACAGUCAGAGAGACUUGACUAGACCAGUAAGCGGACCAGAGACCAAACUACACCAGCAAGACUUGACAAGACCUGUGGAGGGUUACAAUGGACCCAGCUCUCUGCAUGUCAUCUUCUCCACAGAGGUUCCUCAGAGAGAUAUUGGAGGUCCCACUCUCAGACCCCAGCAGAGUCUCAGUAAGCCAUGUCCCGCCUUAGAAGACAUCCGAACCAGGCCCCCCAGAGGUGACCAGGGCUCCAGGAGUGGGUCAGGCCUGACUGGGUCAAAGAAGCACCAGAAGGUUGUCCGGGAUCAGAUCCGGAGAGUGGUGGAGAACUUGGAGGAGGUUCUAGGAGGCCUGAAGGACAUCCAUCAGGAGAUGAAGGAGGUGGUGGAGCAGAUUGAGCUGCUGACCUCGUCCAUUGACCUGAGUGAAAAGGCCAGCCCCAGCCUGCCCGGCGACAGCAGCUCCAGUGGAGUGGCCAAGGGCAGCAGCCACCAGAGGCUCAGGGGUGAGGAGGCCAGGCAAGGGGAGGCAGCUCUGUCUUCCCCCAUCAGGACUAACUCACUCCAGCCUCACAACCCUGCCUCCAGCCUGGUCUGCCUCCCCCACCAACCUGCUCCCAGUCCUCAUAGGAGUAGCCCUGUUCGCCCUCCCACCCCUGCUCUUCCCCCCCUCAGUACCAACCCACCUCACCCCAACACCGCUGCUCCCUCAGUCAAGAGUCAGCAUUACCCACACAACCCUGCUUCUUCCCCCAAAAAGAGCAGUCUACAUUACCCCCUUAACCCUACUCUCUUUCACAACCUUGGGCUUUCCCCCCAAAAAAGUAGUCCCCCUCACCCAUCUGCCCUUGGUCUUUCUGUCACCAUAGCGAACCAAGCGGGGCCACCCAUUGUGGAGCCUCUCCCUGUCAGACCACCCAGAGACCCUGAGACCAGGGUGGAGGGGCUGAGGCCAACAUCUGCUAAAUCACUGGGGCUGACCCAGGGCCAGAUGGCCCCUCACGGCCCAGGGAGAGUUCCAGGGACCAGGGGCCGCAAGCCUCCUCCUUACCCGCACAAUGGACACUUUGAUCGGGUGAGUAAAGGAAAGGAUCCCAGGAAGGCUCCCCCAUACACUGUGAAAAGAAGACUGCUCUCGACAACGGUGUGA
rnacentral:lncRNA from 1 species